rnacentral:ncRNA from 2 species
CGCUCCGAGGAGCGUUGCAGCGCCUCCCACCGGCAGGGCCGGCGGGGCGUGAGGCUCGGGCAUCAUCUGGCAACGACGCUCAUCCACA